CGUAGGGACCAAGCGUUGUUCGGAUUUACUGGGGCGUAAAGGGCGCGUAGGCGGCAAUUCAAGUCAGCUGUGAAAUCUCCGGGCUUAACUCGGAACGGUCAGCUGAUACUGCUUUGCUAGAGUGCAGAAGGGGCAAUCGGAAUUCUUGGUGUAGCGGUGAAAUGCGUAGAUAUCAAGAGGAACACCUGAGGUGAAGACGGGUUGCUGGGCUGACACUGACGCUGAGGCGCGAAAGCUAGGGUAGCAAACGGGAUU
rnacentral:rRNA from 1 species